GCACAACGCUAAGAUGGACCGCCACAACGCUAGACCAAGCCUAACGCACAAUAGAGCAAGCGCCACAGCGAUAUAAUCAAGCGUCUCAACGCUAACUAGAAUUGAGCGCUGUAUAUUUGACCCAAAAAAUAAAACGCACAACAACGCUUGAUUUGGGGCUUCAUUUAAAAAUUCCUUUCCUUCUCAAACUCAAGCCCCAAUCAAGAGUAAUUCUCCAAUCCCCAUGUUCGAGGAAUAUGCUCCAGACUCCGUGGUCGAGGAGGACGCUGCCGAGUCAGAUUGACACGUUCUCAAGGAAGUCUUCUACUUUAAUUUUUCUUAUUUUAAAUAUUGAGUACAAUGUUUAGUUUAAUUUUAGGGGUGUGUUCUUGUUUUUUUUAUUUGGUACUUAAAGCAAAUUUGUUUUUGAUUUAUUUUAUUAAAUUUGAAUUUUAGGUAUGAUGUUUUCAGGAUAACUUAAGCAAUGUUUUGGUUGGAUUUGAUCAUGGAAUGAUAAGGAAGUGAUUAAUUAAUUUAUAACUCAUGGGAAUUGAUGAACAUGUUUAGC
rnacentral:lncRNA from 1 species